GACGUAGGGGGCCAGCGUUGCUCGGAAUUACUGGGUGUGAAGGGUUCGUAGGCGGUGUGGCAAGUCGGGAGUGAAAUCUCUGGGCUCAACCCAGAGUCUGCUUCCGAAACUGCCGUGCUUGAGUGUGGCAGAGGAAGGUGGAAUUCCACGUGUAGCGGUGAAAUGCGUAGAGAUGUGGAGGAACACCAAUGGCGAAGGCAGCCUUCUGGGCCAACACUGACGCUCAUGCACGAAAGCGUGGGGAGCAAACAGG
rnacentral:rRNA from 1 species